rnacentral:rRNA from 1 species
AGUGAACGCUGGCGGUAGGCCUAACACAUGCAAGUCGAACGGCAGCACAGUAAGAGCUUGCUCUUACGGGUGGCGAGUGGCGGACGGGUGAGGAAUACAUCGGAAUCUACUUUUUCGUGGGGGAUAACGUAGGGAAACUUACGCUAAUACCGCAUACGACCUACGGGUGAAAGCAGUGGAUCUUCGGACCUUUCGCGAUUGAAUGAGCCGAUGUCGGAUUAGCUAGUUGGCGGGGUAAAGGCCCACCAAGGCGACGAUCCGUAGCUGGUCUGAGAGGAUGAUCAGCCACACUGGAACUGAGACACGGUCCAGACGACUACGGGAGGCAGCAGUGGGGAAUAUUGGACAAUGGGCGCAAGCCUGAUCCAGCAAUACCGCGUGGGUGAAGAAGGCCUUCGGGUUGUAAAGCCCUUUUGUUGGGAAAGAAAAGCAGCAGGUUAAUACCCCGCUGUUCUGACGGUACCCAAAGAAUAAGCACCGGCUAACUUCGUG